UUGAAGCGUCGCGAGCUGCUGCUAUCGCUAGUUUCAACAAAAUGGCUGCAGAGGCACCACUAACGAAAGCCCACUGAAUGGUAGGAAUUAUCAUCGACGAUGUUUUAAUGGAUAUCUUCGAAAUACCCACUCUCCAAAUAUUGGAUUUUGCAAGAAUUUGCUCUCUUGGAUUCCUUUAUUUGCGAGCAAUUCACAGUCGCGUGCUGUAAAUCUUUUUUAAAAUGUCAACUCAUCAAAGACAAGCCGAGAGAAGAAGCAGGGAACACGAGACCAGAACCAUUUGAUGGAAGAAAAGAAUAAGAGAAAGCAAGAAGAAAAGAAAAAGAAGGAAGCUGCUCAGAAAAAGGUCACUGAACAGAAAACCAAAGGUGAGUUGAUCUCAUCAUCUUUUCCAACUUUCUGCACCAAUCCUACCUCCUAUUACCUUAGCAUGACUGACUGACAGAGCUGAAAGUGGAUUGAAAAGAGAGGGGGAGUGAAGGAAAGAGAGAGGGAAGGAGAACGACAGUCGGAGCAACAGAGAAAGUGAGAGCGUAUGCACAGUGUGCGCUUAGCUGGCAGGGUUUUGAAGUGAAUUGAACCCAGAGCACUGUAGAUAGAACACAUCCUCUCUCUCUCGCUUCCCUCUGUGCCAAAGCUCUUAAUGAGUGAGAGAGAAGGACUGGAGAGAGGGAGAGGACCUGUUAUGUGGGGGUGACUGGCCAGAUGGGGCCGGGUGGGGCUUAUGUUUUGAGGGAUAGUCGCUAGGAAAGCUCAUUAGGGCAUCUGUUAAUGGUCCUGUAACGGCCUUCUAGCACUUAACAGGAGGUUGGGGAAGUGGGUGGUUAAAAGGUCAAGAUGAAGGGACUUCUUGGUGUAAUAACCCUACAGGGCAUAGUAGGCUGCAGGACUGUAUCUACUGGAGCCUGUCUGUGGUGCUGAGCUGCACUAAUGAGCAGUAAUCUGGGUUAGUUAGCUUUGUUAUCCUGUUUCCAUCCAGUUAGCAUUGUUAGCAUGUUUCCAUCCAGUUAGCAGUAAUCUGGGUUAGUUAGCUUUGUUAGCAUGUUUCCAUUCCACUGUGGUUGGAAUGGG